GACAUCCAGAGAACUUAGCAGAGAUGCUUUGGUGCCUUCGGGAACUCUGAGACAGGUGGCUGCAUGGCUGUCGUCAGCUCGUGUUGUGAAAUGUUGGGUUAAGUCCCGNAACCGAGCGCAACCCUUAUCCUUUGUUGCCAGCGAUUCGGUCGGGAACUCAAAGGAGACUGCCGGUGAUAAACCGGAGGAAGGUGGGGAUGACGUCAAGUCAUCAUGGCCCUUACGGCCAGGGCUACACACGUGCUACAAUGGCGCAUACAAAGAGAAGCGACCUCGCGAGAGCAAGCGGACCUCAUAAAGUGCGUCGUAGUCCGGAUUGGAGUCUGCAACUCGACUCCAUGAAGUCGGAAUCGCUAGUAAUCGUAGAUCAGAAUGCUACGGUCGAAUACGUUCCCGGGCCUUGUACACACCGCCCGUCACACCAUGGGAGUGGGUUGCAAAAGAAGUAGGUAGCUUAACCUUCGGGAGGGGCGCUUACCACUUUGUGAUUCAUGACUGGGGGUGAAGUCGUAACAAGGUAGGCGUACGUGU
rnacentral:rRNA from 1 species